CCUACGGGAGGCAGCAGUGGGGAAUAUUGCACAAUGGGGGAAACGCUGAUCCAGCGACGCCGCGUGAGUGAAGAAGUAUUUCGGUAUGUAAAGCUCUAUCUGCAGGGAAGUAAAUGUAGCUACCUGACUAAGAAGCCCCGUCCAACUACGUGCCAGCAGCCACGGUAAUACGUAGGCGGCAAGCGUAAUCCGGAUUUACUGGGUGUAAAGGGAGCGUAGACGGCCAGACAAGUCAGAAGUGAAAGCCCAGGGCUCAACCCUGGGACUGCUUUUGAAACUGCCGGGCUGGAGUGCAGGAGAGGUAAGCGGAAUGCGUAGGGUAGCGGUGAAAUGCGUAGAUAUUAGGAGGAACACCAGUGGCGAAGGCGGCUUACUGGACUGUAACUGACGUUGAGGCUCGAAAGCGUGGGGAGCAAACAGGAUUAGAUACCCUAGUAGUC
rnacentral:rRNA from 1 species